CCUACGGGAGGCAGCAGUGAGGAAUAUUGGUCAAUGGACGAGAGUCUGAACCAGCCAAGUAGCGUGAAGGAUGACUGCCCUAUGGGUUGUAAACCUCUUUUAUAUGGGAAUAAAAUGUUCCACGUGUGGGAUUUUGUAUGUACCAUAUGAAUAAGGCACGGCUAACUGCGGGCCAGCAGCCGCGGUAAUAAGGAGGAUCCGAGCGUUAUCCGGAUUUAUUGGGUUUAAAGGGGGCGUAGGUGGAUUGUUCAGUCAUUUGUGAAAGUGUGCGGGUCAACCGUAAAAUUGCAGUUGAAACUGGCAGUCUUGAGUACAGUAGAGGUAGGCGGAAUUCGUGGUGUAGCGGUGAAAUGCUUAGAUAUCACGAAGAACUCCGAUUGCGAAGGCAGUUCACUGGACUGCAACUGACACUGAGGCUCGAAAGUGUGGGUAUCAAACAGGAUUAGAUACCCGAGUAGUC
rnacentral:rRNA from 1 species